GGAGAGUUGGCAGAGUGGUCGAAUGCGGCGGUCUUGAAAACCGUUGUGCCGCAAGGUACCAAGGGUUCGAAUCCCUUACUCUCCGCCA
rnacentral:tRNA from 1 species